GCUAAUGUGUUGCGGUGCAAAAAGUACAGAAAUUGGUCCCAUUCCAGACGCAUUUGAUGGACCGUAACUUGCCCUGUUGUCGAUGAUGCAGGACAUUACUGAGAGGAAUAAAUCCGAAUGUUCCAUGGGAGUUUGUGUUGAUCUUCAUGGAGUACCCUCUGCAUUCAUUAGAAAUAGACUUGUGUGAUAUCCCAUAUAGUGCUGGGGGUUUAGUUGAAUGUCCUCUUGACCAAAUCAUAGGGAUAUAGCAAGUGGAAAAACAGAGAUAUAGAGAAAGCAAAAGGGAACUUGACCAUUUCGCAAAAGAAUCAAUGCUAUUAGUGUAGCUGAACUAUAAGAAUGAUUAUG
rnacentral:sRNA from 2 species